rnacentral:rRNA from 1 species
GAUGAACGCUAGCGGCAGGCCUAAUACAUGCAAGUCAAGGGGCCAGCAAUGGCACCGGCGCACGGGUGCGUAACACGUACACAACAUACCUUUAAGUGGGAGAUAGCAUCGGGGAAACUGGUGGUAAUACCCCAUAAUAUUGCGAUGCGGCAUCACAUUGCAAUUAAAGUUUCGACGCUUAAAGAUUGGUGUGCGUCCGAUUAGCUAGUUGGCGGGGUAACGGCCCACCAAGGCUACGAUCGGUAGGGGGUGUGAGAGCAUGACCCCCCCACAUGGGUACUGAGACACGGACCCAACUCCUACGGGAGGCAGCAGUAAGGAAUAUUGGACAAUGGACGAAAGUCUGAUCCAGCCAUGCCGCGUGCAGGAUGAAGGCGCUCAGCGUUGUAAACUGCUUUUGGAUGGGAAUAAUAACCUCGACGUGUCGGGGCUUGAAGGUACCAUCAGAAUAAGCACCGGCUAACUCCGUGCCAGCAGCCGCGGUAAUGUCG